rnacentral:rRNA from 1 species
UACAGAGGGUGCGAGCGUUAAUCGGAAUUACUGGGCGUAAAGCGUGCGUAGACGGCUAUCUAAGUCGGGUGUGAAAGUCCCGGGCUCAGCCUGGGAAUUGCAUUCGAGACUGAAUAGCUAGGGUACGGUAGAGGGAAGUGGAAUUUCCGGUGUAGCUGGUGAAAUGCGUAGAUAUCGGAAGGAACAUCAGUGGCGAAAGCGACUUCCUGACCAGUAC